CUGGAAAUAAUUUUCAUCCUAUACUCUCAUAGAAUCAACAUAAGAUCCAUCCAAGUCAUAUAUAUUCCAGAAUUUGAAGAAUCAAGGCAUGCUUCAAUAAAAGGAUAUCACAAAGAUCAUUCUUCUUGAAAAGCAAAUGCAAGUACAAGACUACAAGUAGCAAAGUACACUAUUGAUUUGAACUAUUCUAAAGCCUGCACAAGUGACAGAAAAGCAGUACUCAAGGCUGACAUACUGACACAAAUCACAAAGUACAAGGCCAGUUCAUCACAAACCAAAAGAUCAAUCUUGGAUCGAUCUUUUGCUACAGCUCAGCAAUCUUGCUUUUGGCAGAACUUAUCCAACAACUCUCUUAUGACAGCUGGUCCAUUUCCAACGGACACAUGAGCUGUCCUAUGCCUUCUUGGAGUCUAUAAAUGCAGCU
rnacentral:lncRNA from 1 species